rnacentral:rRNA from 1 species
UACGUAGGGUGCGAGCGUUGUCCGGAAUUAUUGGGCGUAAAGGGCUCGUAGGCGGUCUGUCGCGUCGGGAGUGAAAACUCAGGGCUUAACCCUGAGCCUGCUUCCGAUACGGGCAGACUAGAGGUAUGCAGGGGAGAACGGAAUUCCUGGUGUAGCGGUGGAAUGCGCAGUUAUCAGGAGGAACACCGGUGGCGAAGGCGGUUCUCUGGGCAUUACCUGACGCUGAGGAGCGAAAGUGUGGGGAGCGAACAGG